GGAGCACAGGAAAUUUAAACUGUCGAAGCAAGAAAUAAAAAUAAUACCUACAACCCUUAAAUAUAGCACUUUACAUUUUGUGAAGUGUUUCAGAGCCAUUUUCUCCUUGACACUACCUCCUCACUCCAUUUUUCCUUGGCCGCCGCUUAUCAUCUCUGGGUGCUGAAGUCUCUUGAUGUGAACAGAAUGGAGAACACUUUGGUCUUUACCUCUCACCUCUACACCUUUUGUUUCCCAGGAACAGAGGCCACAAAAGAGCUGUAAGAGCAGAGUGAAGCAGGCUCAUCCUGGUAAUUUGUAGUUUUGCAGAUAAAGAACACUUUCCUCAGCACAUGUGCAGUGGAUCCUGACACCAGAGCUUCAAAGAGGUCCCAAUUGGAGAGAAAAUGAGGAAAAGGAGGAACAGAUGGGACUAAAAGCAGAAGGCACCUGAUGAAAGAGAAAAAGCAAGGCUGGGGGAAGGGUGUUUAGAGAAGGACUGGGAGAACAAAAGCAAAGAAUCUGAAAUGAGAGCAUGCUUUCUUCCGUUCCCAUGAACUUCAGAAUGAGCCACAUCUUUACUCAAAGCCUCCUCUGCUAUUUAUAUGUGUGACCUUAGAUUAUAUGAACCUCUGGACUCUGGAGCAUUUUGAGGUCCUGUGGUAAAGGCCUUGGUCAUGUCUGCAUAAAAGUCAGCAUGGGAUAUCCUCAAAGCUGCAAGGCUCCACCUAUGUAGACACUACUGGGAGCAGGAUGCCUGGGAGACGAAGCAGGGCAGCAUAAAUUUUUGUAGCAGAGGCAGCAUCUACAGGGGGUGUCUUUGUGUCUCGGAGGAUUGUUGCAAAAGAGUUCAUAAAUGUGCAGUUCCCUAUCUUCCCCAACCCUUCAAAGAUGGGAAAGAACUUCAUUUAGAUGUUCCAUCCUACCCCGUUUUUUUACUGAUCUGGGCAAUACCAGGUCCCCUUAACACACACACACACACACACACACACACACACACACACACACACACACACACACUUCCUGCAAUAUAUUGUGCUGAAAAUCAGCCUUGCUGUCACAGUUCCAUUAUCAGGAGAGUUUGGAGUAAUGCCCAGCCUAGUCUAUAAUGAAAAAUUGUGGCUCAGUGUCCUGAUUAAAACCAUAUCAUCCUUUCUUGUCUAUAGCUCCGUUCUUAAUUUCAGUCUAGCCCAAGACGCUAUCUAAGGUGGCUUGGAAUGCAGGCCCACAUGUUCCUUUCUGCUGUGAGUACAAGCAGAACAGGCAGAGCUGGGAUUCAAAUUGACCUCUCUCUGAUUCUGAACCCCAUGGUCUUUCCCAUGAAGAGAUCUAGUUUUUUUUGUUUUUGUUUUUGUUUUUUUUUUUCAUCUGUUAGGGGCUGUUAUGGGUUGACUUGUGUUUCCUCCAUCCUCCCUGAAAAAGAUAUUUUGUAGCCCUAACCUCUAGUACCCCAGAAUGUGACCAUAUUUGGAGAUACGGUCUUUAUAGAAAUAUUAAAGUUAAAAUAGGUUCAUUUGGUGUGAGCUCUAAUCCCAUAUGACUGGUGUCCUUAUGCACAGAGGAAAUAUGAAUACCAAGAAAGAGACACAGAGGAAUCAGAGAAAAGACAGACACCUAUGAGCCAAGGAGAAAGGCCUAGAACAGAUCCUUCCCUCACAAUCCUCAGAAGGAACCAAGCCUACCAACAACACCUUGAUCUCAGACAUUCAGCCUCCAAAACUGUGAUGCAAUCAGUGGUGCUUUGUUAUGCCAGUCCCAACAAACUAAUACAGGAGAAAUUCAGAGUUUUCAAACUGGAAGUGCAUGUCCGUGAACAUUAGAUUGUUGCAGCCAUCCAACUGUACAGUGCACAGCUCCAGAGGGCAGUAUUCCCAGGGUCACAUCAUGGUGCAUUCCUGCACUAGACGUCAUACACCACACAGCCUCACACAGUGGUCCCUGACCAAGCUGACACAGAUAGAGUCUCCUCCUGUGAGACAUCUGUUACAUAUGUUACAUGUGUUAAACCUGUUAUAAAUUCAGUUAAAUUGCCCUCAAAGUAAAGAUUAUAAAAGAAGGAUGUUAAGGGAGAUACUGUUGGAUUUGUUGCAGUGCAUUUAAAAAUAGAUAACUUCAAGGCCAUGGAAUAUGGGACUGUUUUUUAGCACAAAAUUAUAAAAGUGGAGAACUAAUAUAUGUUAACCUAUCGGGAAACUCAUCUGAGUAUGAGCUGGGCAGACGUUUUGAUUGUCUAUGGAGGGCUGGACUUCCCACUUUUCUCCCACUCAUCUGACAGGAUCAGUUUUUCAGGUGAUGAAUUAGGAACAAGGUGAGAAGGAGGUGGCUCUAGACACCCUGGAUAUAGCACUGUUUUCUGUUAAUGAGAUUCAGAUGGCCUGAUAAUUAAAGCUGUCUCCAAAACAGAAUGGCUUUCCUCAUCUAGCAUCCUUGGCACAGGGUAAUUCAACUGAAGACUGGGUUCAUUUAUCCAUUCAACUCCCUAAUAAAUACUUAUGGAGUAUUAGGCAAUGUCCUGGAUAUUGGAGGAAUACAAAGAAUAGUGCCAGUCAUAUCAAUCUUGCUCUCAAAGAGUUUAGGUUCUAAGGAGAAAUAAGGUAGAUGCGUAGAAAAUUCCAAUAUAGAAUAUAAAACUAUGUGUCACAGAAAAAGU
rnacentral:lncRNA from 1 species